GAGAGAGGCUUGCCAGCAACAUAGACUGCUAACCCUUGCGCCCUCGGUUGGAUUCCGGAGCUCCCUCG
rnacentral:tRNA from 1 species